rnacentral:rRNA from 1 species
CCUACGGGUGGCAGCAGUGGGGAAGAGUGCACAAUGGGGGGAACCCUGAUGCAGCGACGCCGCGUGAGUGAAGAAGUAUUGCGGUAGGUAAAGCUCUAUCAGCAGGGAAGAAAAGGACGGUACCUGACUAAGAAGCCCCGGCUAACUACGUGCCAGCAGCCGCGGUAAUACGUAGGGGGCAAGCGUUAUCCGGAUUUACUGGGUGUACAGGGAGCGUAGCCGGUUAUGCAAGUCUGAAGUGAAAGCCCAAGGCUCAACCCUGGGACUGCUUUUGAAACUGUAAAACUGGAGUGCAGGAGCGGUAAGCGGAAUUCCUCUUGUAGCGGUGACCUGCUUAGAUAUUAGG